UGAGUUUUUCCCAUUAUGGCGGAGGGGCCAGCCGCACGGAUGGACUGUCUCUCCCACUCUGAGGCUUGUUUUGUGUCUUGAGGGAGGGCGUUUUAUAUUUUUAAUUUUUCUACACUUUACCUUCCUCUUUGACUGCACUGCACUCUGUGUGUUUAUCGGCGGAAUGAUGGCGGACCGCAGCGUGAAUGUGUCCGCCCUGCCGAAAGAGGCUCGGGACCAGCUGGCGGAGUUGGACCUGGAGCUGUCUGAAGGUUACAUAACACAGAAG